GAACUUUAUAAAAUAGCUUUUAAAUUACCAUAUGCCACAGAUGGCAUAGAAUCCUGAGAGAAGAUCAAUUUGAGGAAACUUAGGGAAUCAUUAAUAGUAAUGAUUCAGAAUUUAUUGAUGACCUUCAACACCCAACUCAAUUCCAUUGGCAAUCUGUUAUGCCAAUCACCAGCCAUGUUUGCCACAUCAAACGUUGAAAACGUGUUGACAAUAUCUGACGCAAAUGAAGCUGAAGAUAAAUAAACAACAACAAAAGUUGGCUCAUGGCGUCAGAAGAAGAUAAAUACCAAAAUAAUGUUGGUCCUUGACAGCCAUUCACGUUCCAGUUCACUAUACUAUUAAUUAUGAUGUACCGUAAAUAAAACGUUAUACAUGAGUAAAGUAAAAAUUUUGCAAUUUUUUGCAAGUCAAAGCUUGCCAAAAAGUUUUGCAAUUUAGAAAUUUGCAGC